rnacentral:rRNA from 1 species
CAAUAGCGUAUAUUAAAGUUGUUGCAGUUAAAAAGCUCGUAGUUGGAUUUCUGGUUGAAGCGACCGGUCGGGCGUUGAUUCGUCUGCACUGGAGUCGGUUUUGGCCAUCCUCUAGGAAAGUGCGUCUGGUAUUAAGUUAUCGGGCGUAUGAUCCUGGUCUUUUACUGUGAAAAAAUUAGAGUGUUUAAAGCAGGCCUUCGCCUUGAAUACAUUAGCAUGGAAUAAUAAGAUAGGACUUUGGUCUAUCUUGUUGGUUUGCAGACCGAAGUAAUGAUUAAUAGGGAUAGUUGGGGGUAUUUAUAUUCCGAUGUCAGAGGUGAAAUUCUUAGAUUUUCGGAAGAUAAACUUAUGCGAAAGCAUUUACCAAGGAUGUUUUCAUUAA